rnacentral:misc_RNA from 1 species
UCCUUUUUCUACUGUCGACAACGCCGUAUCCAUGAUUCGGCAACCUGUACUGCUACAACAUUCGCAUGCAGACACCUUCCCCUAUCGCCCUAUGUCCUUGCUUUUGCACACACUCGCAUCCGCCAUCAAAGGCUCUCCACUCCCAUCUUUUACUUGAAAGUUGUCCUUUAUCUUUCUCUCACACCACCUAAUAUCACGGACACCGCUUCCUGCAGCAUUGCUGCCCCACGCCGCGCUUCCAUACAAGGCGCCUUACAGCGUCCAGCACGAGCAUGGAAAGGUCUAGCACUGAUGCACGUGUGGGCUCGGUCAGAAACAGCUCUCCUGUGACCGCUCUCACGGCGUGUACAACGAGGAACACGCUGCGACGACGCUGCCAAUGGCGUUCACAGCAAAGGAGACGGGCACAGCGUAGCGCUGCGGCUGCAGGGUUACCAAGAACCUGCCGUUGUGCGACGGGUCCCAUCACUCUGUCUGAACAAGGGAAGCUCUCCGAAGACAGGAGUCAGUGGGCCUACGACACUGGGGAUUCGAAGGGGCGACUGAGACGCGGCCGACACACAUGGACUACUGACGGGCUUACGGAGCCACGCUGGAAGGCAGUGAUGUGUAAAAGGUUUAGUAGCGUGUGCUGUCUCACACUCUUUUUCCAGUAUGUUCUUCCUAAUUCUAGACGGACGGAGAUAGCCGUCACUUCCCCAAGGUCUUUUCUUCCACUUGUUCCACGAGGGCCUCCUCCCGCACCUCCCUUCCCUUCGUCUCUUUCCCUCCGUCGUUGCCCCGACUUCACACUUCCCGGCACCUCCUCCUUAGACAUUUAUUUUUUCAUUUUUUCGUCUCUCUUGUUUCCCAUCACUUACUCGUGUUCAUGUUACUCCCACUCCUUCCUCUGCUAUUCACUACUUCUUUCGCUUUCUCCGUGCCGGUACUGAUCCCUGAAGUCCUGCUUUUGUAGCUUUCCCUUUUUUUCAUAUAAAGGACUGAGGCAAACACCCACGCACCCAAGAAGGGCUGGAGAGCCAAAAACAACAACAAAAAGGCAACAACUUAGCGCCUUAGCCGUCCUGUGAUUCUCUCCUCCCUUCCGCUUAAUCUCUCUCCAACAUCCCUCUUUCUGUGCAUGAGUGUGCAUGCGUUUUCGGUAACACAGGUCACUAUAGAACGUAACUGUUGCUUGUGCUCCAAGCGUUGUAAGCUGUUUUGCUCACCUGCGCUGUGCUGUGCUGCGCGCAGUGUGUGUGUGUAUAUGUGUGUAUGCGGGGUAGUCAUGGCGACCACGCACGUCGAAAAAGAACCCUAUUUGCACCCCAAACACCAGUGUGUGCACACACUAUCUCUUUAUCCUAGUACGUAAAAGUUGAAAAGUUAGGAAUGCAGCGGGCUGGCCCAAAAGAAGACACCCUGGGCGAUUACUCUUUCUCAGGUAGAGCCAGAGCACUUCUUCGGCAAAGGCCGAGUGACUCGUUUUCUGUUAUCGUCCCUCACGGCGGCUCCGUUCAUCUCCCUCUGCUUUCUGUCUUGCUUAUGUUCUCUUAGCCGUUGGGAGACGCUUUUUCGUUUCCCUUGCCUUCCCUGUGUGUGUGUGUGUCUCUAUCCCGUUUCUCGUUUUCCGAGUGCCGUCUCUCGACCGCUCGCUAUGUCUUUUCACUGGCUCUGUAUUGCAGAACGGAUUUCGACCGUGCCGAACGG